GUGUUCGCUUCGGCAGCACAUACACUAAAAUUGGAACGAUACAGAGAUUAGGAUGGCCCCUGUGCAAGGAUGAUACGCAAAUUUUGUGAAGCGUUCCAUAUUUUU